rnacentral:rRNA from 1 species
ACUUUCCAACAAUGGAUCUCUUGGCUCUCGCAUCGAUGAAAAACGCACCGAAAUGCGAUAAGUAAUAUGAAUUGCAGAAUUCCGUGAAUCAUCAAAUUUUUGAACGCAAAUUGCACUUCUUGGUAUUCCGAGGAGUACACAUGCUUGAGGGUCAGUUA